UUUUUUCGAGCCGCCGUUCGUAGCGCCGCAGAUCCAUCGUCGAAGUUUUGGAUCUCGUUUCCGGCGAACUUUUCCGGCGAACCUUCGGCGAGAGUUUCCGGCCAUCUCCGGCAUCCUCCACGAAAACCGUCACCAUCCCGAGGGCCGCGACCCCCUCAGUGAGGCACACCUGCAGGUCCUAUCAGCGCCACCAUACUGUGCCCUCUGCCCGCUCCUCUUCGCACGCGCGCCUACUAGUAAGAGCAGGAUUGGCUGCUGCCGCUCCUCUGCAGACCGACACCCUACUGCGAACCACGUCCUGGCCACGGGCCUCAAGCUUGGUGUCGCGCCGCCGUGGCCUUGCACUGCUGUGGCGUGCGUUCGACUGGCCAGGCCCCUCCCCUUCUCUGCGUUGUGCAGCAGCAGCACCCCCAUCGCCAUCAGGGCCACCAUGUUCACGUCAAGAUGAAGAAGAGGACAGAGAAGAAGCGUGGUUCGUCAGCAGUGAAGACUAGGAGCUAAGGACCGACGGUCGAAGCAGAAGUUGGAGAUCAGAAGAAAGAAGCCAAAGAAUUCUGAGCAGAUAUACACUGGAAAAUAAAGGCAAGUGCAGACACCGUUUGAUCAUUUUGAACCUACUCAUUAAUGUCAUUUACUUUACAUGCAUGUGUCCAAUGAAUGCAAACCCUAAGGACAUGACUAGCUUUACUUACCAUUCCUUGUUCACCUAGGGUUAUGUAUGUGGGUAGUGUAGGCUAUACUAGGUUUGCUUAGCUACUCUACUCAUCUUACACACAUGCUUAAACAAGAAUUACUCUC